AUGUCACAAACCCGGAAACCCCCAACUGCCUCAUAUUCUCUUAACCCUAACUAAUUUUUUUUCCUUCAUUCGAUCUGAAUUCUACACAAAUUCAUGGUGUCAUGGCUUAGAUUUCGAAUUCAAAUCUCAUUUCCCCUUGUGUUUCUCAUUAUUCUAUCACAAUAAUUGAUAUAUUUUGCUGAAAAUAAUUGUCUUCCUCUAUGGUUUGCGUUGAAAAUUGAUAUGCGAUAGCUAUUGUUCGUGUUCUCCUCAAAGAGAAAAAAUAAAAAAAAACAUCAAAUUACUCUUAUUGGAGCAGAGUCGAAUGGUUAAUAGGGUUAGAGAUUAUAUCGUGGAGCUAAAGAAACUCCUGGAAAGAAGAGCUUGUAUCGAACUAAUUAAUGGGCAUUGCAGUUGGAUGCUAAUUAAGCACAGCUGAUCUUGACGAACUAUUUUGGUCCUCAGUAUGAAAUAGAGUAUACUGGUCUUCAGUAUGAAAUAGAGACACGAACUACGGGGAAGGAUUCGUUACAUUUUUGUAAUUUUUUCAGCUAGAGGUGUAUGCUUACUUGGGUUCUUCACAAGUUUAUCAAUCCCACCAAUGUAUUAUUAGAAAAAAUUGCAGGCCACACUAAAUCAUUCAGUUCCUACCAAAGGAUCCACAAACAUCAAAGGGUGUGCUGUGAAUUCAAGGCCAACAAUGAUUCGAAACAAUAUGAACUUUGAUUUACGCCCCUUGCAAGCAGAUUAAGGAGCAGCUAAUUAUGAAGAAAUGAGCAGAUUUGUUCCACUAUGUACUAGUCAUGAAUGACGUAUAGGUUGGAAUUAUAUUUCUUGUACUACCUAAUAGAAAACUCAUUACAAUGAAAUAUUGUACAUGUACUAUAACAUAUUUAUAUGCAAUAAAAAAAUUGGCUUAAUUUUGCUCUGUA